AGCAAGCGGCAUAAAUCAAGUCCAUGGGGCAUGGAGGCUGCUGUGGCGGCUGCAGCUCAGCUUGCCCGGGGCGGGAACUCAGCCUUCUUUCGCCUCCCCAGCGCCCAUACCCUGCCUUCUCCUUAAUUCUUGCCUGGAUAAUAGAGCCCUAACGACAACAGUCAUAGUAAUAGGGUCAGAACGAUAGGGUUGGUUUGUUUUGAUCUACAGAAGAAGGAAAAAAGCUGCCUAAACAUCUCAGAAAACUGCAUCGCAAAAUGGAAGAGAGCGGGUCCCACUACUGUUUCAAAAGAGAACAAUGGAAACCAAAUGCAGAGAAUGGUACCACCAUAAGGUGAAUGGAGCUGGGUCCUUGGAAAUACUGUUUGGAGGGAAGCCUCACAAACCCAGCUGGACUGACAAGGUGAUAUACUCCCAAGGGACAUGUGGCUUCAUCUUGAGAAGUUCGGAAACAGAAUCUGAGGACAGACAACUUGCCAGGUCACAUAACAAGUAAAUGAAAGAAGUUGAGUUGUUAUUAGAGAAACAAGCAUGAUAUGCAAGACUGGGACAUUGUGCUGUACACCAGAGUCUGACACAUUGUAAUUGACUAUGCUUCAAUAAAUAAAAUAAAGAA